UACACUUUAAAUCCUUUAACGAGGAUCUAUUGGAGGGCAAGUCUGGUGCCAGCAGCCGCGGUAAUUCCAGCUCCAAUAGCGUAUAUUAAAGUUGCUGCGGUUAAAAGCUCGUAGUUGGAUCUCAGUCUCGGUCGGACGGUCCACUUCACGGUGGUACUGUUCGAAUCGGACAUUUGGCCGCCUUUCUCAGUAUGCUCUUCACUGAGUGUAUUGGGAGAGUGGCACGUUUACUUUGAAAAAAUUAGAGUGCUCAAAGCAGGCAAUUGCCUGAAUCUUCGUGCAUGGAAUGAUGGAAUAGGGCCUCGGUUCUAUUUUGUUGGUUUCCGGAACUCGAGGUAAUGAUUAAGAGGGACGGACGGGGGCAUUCGUAUUGCGACGUUAGAGGUGAAAUUCUUAGACCGUCGCAAGACGAACUACUGCGAAAGCAUUUGCCAAGAAUGUUUUCAUUAAUCAAGAACGAAAGUCAGAGGUUCGAAGGCGAUCAGAUACCGCCCUAGUUCUGACCUUAAACGAUGCUAUCUGGCGAUCCGUCGGUGUUAAUUCCAAUGACCCGACGGGCAGCUUCCGGGAAACCAAAGUGUUCAAGUUCCGGGGGAAGUAUGGUUGCAAAACUGGAACUUAAAGGAAUUGACGGAAGGGCACCACCAGGAGUGGAGCCUGUGGCUUAAUUUGACCCAACACGGGAAAUCUCACCAGGCCCGGACACUGGCAGGAUUGACAGAUUGAUAGCUCUUUCUUGAUUCAGUGGGUGGUGGUGCAUGGCCGUUCUUAGUUGGUGGAGUGAUUUGUCUGGUUAAUUCCGAUAACGAACGAGACCCCGUCCUACUUACUAGACUGAGGAUUCUUUUGUCCUCAGAAUCUUCUUAGAGGGACAACUGGCGUUUAUCUAGCUACAUGAAAUGGGGCAAUAACAGGUCUGUGAUGCCCUUAGAUGUUCUGGGCCGCACACGCGCUACACUGAAGGGAUCAUCGUGUUUGUCCUAGCCUGAAAAGGCCGGGAAAUCCGUUGAAAUCUCUUCGUGCUAGGGAUUGAGGCUUGCAAUUUUUUCUCAUGAACGAGGAAUUCCCAGUAAGUGCGAGUCAUAAGCUCGCGCUGAUUACGUCCCUGCCCUUUGUACACACCGCCCGUUGCUACUACCGAUUGGAUGAUUUAGUGAGGCCUUCGGACUGGCUGCUAGUGGGGCACUUGUGUCCUGCUGGUGGAUCGGGAAGAUGUUCAAACUGUAUCAUCUAGA
rnacentral:rRNA from 1 species